AGUGAACGCUGGCGGUAGGCCUAACACAUGCAAGUCGAACGGCAGCACAGUAAGAGCUUGCUCUUACGGGUGGCGAGUGGCGGACGGGUGAGGAAUACAUCGGAAUCUACUUUUUCGUGGGGGAUAACGUAGGGAAACUUACGCUAACACCGCAUACGACCUACGGGCGAAAGCAGGGGAUCUUCGGACCUUGCGCGAUUGAAUGAGCCGAUGUCGGAUUAGCUAGUUGGCGGGGUAAAGGCCCACCAAGGCGACGAUCCGUAGCUGGUCUGAGAGGAUGAUCAGCCACACUGGAACUGAGACACGGUCCAGACUCCUACGGGAGGCAGCAGUGGGGAAUAUUGGACAAUGGGCGCAAGCCUGAUCCAGCCAUACCGCGUGGGUGAAGAAGGCCUUCGGGUUGUAAAGCCCUUUUGUUGGGAAAGAAAAGCAGCAGGUUAAUACCCCGCUGUUCUGACGGUACCCAAAGAAUAAGCACCGGCUAACUUCGUG
rnacentral:rRNA from 1 species